rnacentral:rRNA from 1 species
UACGAAGGGGGCUAGCGUUGUUCGGAUUUACUGGGCGUAAAGCGCACGUAGGCGGAUAUUUAAGUCAGGGGUGAAAUCCCGGGGCUCAACCCCGGAACUGCCUUUGAUACUGGGUAUCUUUGAGUCCGGAAGAGGUGAGUGGAAUUCCGAGUGUAGAGGUGAAAUUCGUAGAUAUUCGGAGGAACACCAGUGGCGAAGGCGGCUCUCUAGUACGGUACUGACGCUGAGACGCGAAAGCGUGGGGAGCAAACAGG